UACGUAGGAUGCAAGCGUUGUCCGGAAUCACUGGGCGUAAAGGGCGCGUAGGCGGCUCAUGAAGGCUGUGGUGAAAGUCCGGGGCUCAACCUCGGAUCGGCCGUGGCGACUCGUGGGCUGGAGCACUGUAGAGGCGGGUGGAAUUCCGGGUGUAGCGGUGGAAUGCGUAGAGAUCCGGAAGAACACCAGUGGCGAAGGCGGCCCGCUGGGCAGUGGCUGACGCUGAGGCGCGACAGCGUGGGGAGCAAACAGG
rnacentral:rRNA from 1 species